CCAAAACCAUCUUCCCUCUUCUCUCCCCAAAUCGUCUCAUCCCUAAAUCGCGCACGCGCCAAUAUUUCUCUCCCCAAACCCUUCUUCCCUCUUCUCUCCCAAAUCGCCCCAUCCCCAAAUCCCGAAAGCUCUCUCUCCAACGUCCCUCCACUCCUCAAUCGAUUGUUCCUCUCUUGCUCUCGGUCUCGAUUUUCCUCUCUCUCUCUCUCUCUCUCUCUCUCUCUCUCUCUCUCUCUCUCUCUCUCUCUCGUUGAAGAUGGUCGGUUUGCCGUCCACGCCGACAUCGACGCUGAUAGAGGUGAGUUUGGGGAUGAUCAGAUCUCUGAGUUCAAGGAGGCAUUUGGCAUGUUUGAGAAGGACAGAGACAGUCAGAUCCAUCCCUUCGAACUUCAUUUUUCCCCCCUUUUCUGCUGGAAAUCUGUUGAUUUUAUGAUUUAUUAAUAGCAUUUUUAUGGUUGAGGAUUUUUUUAUGGAAAUCUGUUGAUCACUUGAUUGUGUAGAAAGGGGAAGCUGAAUGAAGCAUAAAUGUUGUUUGACGAAAUGCGUAAGAGAGGGAUAAGUGCUGCUAAUGCAACAUUAGCUGCUUUGGUUUAUGGAGGGGAUAAGAUAGCUUGAUGCUGAGACUCAACAAUACGGGGUUGAAGAGCUACAAAGCAUUAAAUAAAUACGGUGUCUGCUUAUUAUCCGCUUGCCUGCUCCUUGCACUGGAGGGGCGCAUGGGGAAGAAUUUUCAAUCCGCUGAAGUUGCUGCAGAUCUUUAAUCGUGGUUCUAGCUCUUGUGCAGCGGUUGCCACUAUUCUGAGUGGCUAAGUGAGUUUAGCUAUCUGUCCUCUAUUUAGGUAUAGGCCUUUUACAGGUUUUGGCUUUUCAGUGUUGUAUAUGUUUACAUUUAGCUAGGUGUGGCAUGGCCCCUUUUUUUGUACUGCCUGUCCUCUAGAGACUCACACGACAUGUUGAAUCUACUGGUUUUCAAAUAGUCACGAGACCAGAGCUACUUUUAGUCUAGUCCUCAAUUACUUUGUGCAGCUACAACUGGCUUCUUCCGUGACCCAAACACAAUAUGUGGUGUUGGCUCUUUUACCAAUUGCUAAGAGCCUAACCAACUUGCCAAAAGCAUUAGAACUCAUAAACCAUUAGAGUUCAUAACAUAGUGACUGUUGGGCUCAUAAACCCUGCACUUACACAAUAUACUUUUUUUUACACUGUCACAUGCCCACAUCACACCACAUGGGCACUCAAACACAUGAUCUUAUAGUUGAAACACAAUCUGUCUAAACUGAGCCGUGGAACCAGAGCAUUUUAUGAUAUAUACUUCCACAUGUGAGGCCAGCAUUUAAAAAAAAAUAAAAAAAUCAUGGCACAAUCUAAGCCACAAUGCAAUGUACAUUAUGAUUUAUGAUUAUGUCAAUAGUUCAUCACAUUUUAGUAUUUCUAACCCUUAACACGCCCUUCUCUAUUUGCAUCUUCACAUGUAAUGCAAAUUCUAAUGUGGCAAGCUUGUGUGACAUUUGAACACUAGGUAGAGAGGCUCACCAUCAAAAUGUCCAUACAAAAAUUAGGAUAGUCUACUCAUCAAGCAA